rnacentral:tRNA from 1 species
GCUUUCAUGGUGUAACGGUAGCACACUAGGUGCGUAUUCGAGAGGUCUAGGUUCGAUUCCCGGCGAGGGCA